UAAUACAGAGGUGGCAAGUGUUGUUCGGAUUUACUGGGCGUAAAGGGUCCGCAGGCGGUCCUGUGUGUCGGAUGUGAAAGCUCACGGCUUAACCGUGGAAUUGCAUUCGAAACUACAGGACUAGAGUACAGGAGGGGAGAGGGGAAUUCAGGGUGUAGCGGUGAAAUGCGUAGAUAUCCUGAAGAACACCGGUGGCGAAGGCGCCUCUCUGGACUGAUACUGACGCUCAUGGACGAAAGCUAGGGGAGCGAAGAGGAUUAGAUACCCUCGUAGUCCUAGCCGUAAACGGUGUGCACUUGAUGUUGGAGGUUUACCCCCUUCAGUGUCGGAGCUAACGCGUUAAGUGCACCGCCUGGGAAGUACGGCCGCAAGGUUA
rnacentral:rRNA from 1 species